UACAGAGGAGGCUAGCGUUGUUCGGAAUCACUGGGCUUAAAGCGCGUGUAGGCGGCCUGUCAAGUACCUUGUGAAAUCCCCGGGCUCAACUCGGGAAUUGCUGGGUAUACUGACGGGCUUGAGGUAGGUAGGGGUGCCUGGAACUCUAGGUGGAGCGGUGAAAUGCGUAGAGAUCUAGAGGAACGCCCGUGGCGAAAGCGGGGCACUGGGCCUGUCCUGACGCUAAGACGCGAAAGCGUGGGGAGCAAACGGG
rnacentral:rRNA from 1 species